GCGCGGCCCCAGCGAAAAGUGUAGUGUAGAGCGCCGGUGUCUUCUGACGGUUCUCCCGCCUCGCUCCGCCUUCCCCGGUGGCGCUGUGAGAGGCGGGCAGGAAGCCCAGCGGCCGCUUUCCGCGCAGUUGACGCGCUAACAAAGCCGGGGCCGCGGGCCCGCUAGGUGACUUCCGGCCCCGCGGGCAGAGAUAUCAUUUCCAGAGAGAAAAACUACAAGACCUCUCCCCAAGACCAUUGUAGUCUAUUGGUAGUCACCAGGAUGGAUGAAGUACACACUAUGAACSAAGUACAUGCUGUCAGGGGAGCUCAGAGCAGGUGCCUUUGACUCCUAACUUACACCAGUGCAGCCAUCCUUGGGCCAGAAGGAUCAUUUCAGUGCAUGGUGGUCUGAGGGACUGAAGUUCAGAGAAUCGGUAACUUGCCUGAGUCGCUAGGACUGAAAUCUCAACACAGUACCACUUGCAUUAGCUCRCCUCCCGCAGGCAGCUGCCCCAACCUAGGAGAGGGAAAGUCCAGUCCUUGUCAUUGCCAGAGAGUUCUGAUUGCUAUUUACUUUCUCAUCUAUUUCAYAUUAUGAUAAUGUUUUCCUGGAAUUGGAUGAUAUAAUACUAGAAAUUGAAGAUGUUUAUUCGMAACAAAGAUUACAUAUGCAGGCUUCCUGUCAUAGCCUAGGGAARUUGCUCACAUCAUUCAUGAUUUCCAGUCUUCUCUGAAUAUGAUAAUGUUURUUUUAGGAAAUCUGGU